UACAGAGGUCUCAAGCGUUGUUCGGAUUCAUUGGGCGUAAAGGGUGCGUAGGCGGCUCGGUAAGUCGGGUGUGAAAUCUCGGGGCUUAACUCCGAAACUGCAUUCGAUACUGCCGUGCUUGAGGACUGGAGAGGAGACUGGAAUUUACGGUGUAGCGGUGAAAUGCGUAGAUAUUCGCAAGAACACCUGUGGCGAAGGCGGCUCACUGGCCCGAUACUGACGCUGAGGUGCGAAAGCGUGGGGAGCAAACAGG
rnacentral:rRNA from 1 species